rnacentral:lncRNA from 1 species
UUUAUGUUUAUGGAUAUUUUGCCUGCAUUUGUGUCUGUGCACCGUGUGAAUAGUUGGUCCCCAUGGAGGCUAUCAGGCCAUUAGGAGUCACCGUGCUGGGAAUCGAACUCAGGUCCUCUCUGCAAGAACAACUAGUGCUCUUGACUGUGGAGCUAGCUCUUCUGAGCAUAGCUCUAAGAGGUCAGUGUUAGCUGAGGAGAUGGUUGCAGCUCAGUGCAGAGGAUGCAGCUCAACGGCAGAGCAGCAAAGCUCAGAGCUUUGACUCCUGGCAGCAGGGACAAGCAAUAAGAGAGGCCCAUUUCUCAGGCACUGGUUCUACAGAAGCCUGGAGAACAAGCUUCCCUGAAGACUCCUCAAUUCUCUCCUCCACCAAAACGCAGCUUGUAGACACACUUACAGGAGCCUGCAGAGGUGAGGUUGGAAGAGGACAUCGGAUCCCCCCCGAACUGAAGUUCCAGAUGUGAGCUGCCACAUGGGUGCUGGACGGGGUCGUCUGCAAGAGUAGUCAGUGUUCUUAACCACGGAGACAUCUGUCCAGCCCCCAGUAGUUUGAUUUCCUUUUUAAACUGCAGGAUUAGAGUAUUUACGAUCUUGUUCCUUGUUCAUCAGUCUCCCUCGGGGCUACCUUGCAGUGUAGAUGGCUGCUAUAAUCUGUAGGCAAACACUUUGGAGGAGGCAAUGUUAGCAGGGCAAGAAAGGCUCAGUAAGGAGAAACUUCUGGCUGAGAGACCAGAAUCUCUGGCCUAGGUGGAGAUCUCACAAUUCAGAGGAACGGGUCAGUGACCUGGCAGAGGGACCACCCCCAGGAAGGCAGGUUCACCUUAAGCCAUGCUAAAGAGAUGGGUGGGAUAGUUGUUCCUUUAAUGAAAUACUGUCCUUUUCCUUCCCAGAAUCCCCAACACACACACACACACACACACACACACACACACACACACACACACACACACAGAGUGCAGUCCUUAUGAAUCGAGCCACCGGGAGGUUCAGCUUGGUCUGUUCAUCUUGAGUCAGAAAGGUGUACAUUUUUCUUUUUUCCAUUUUCUGUCUUUUUCAGAUGAUUGCCAGGAUCUAAGUAUGCUUUUUCUGGUACCCUGGGCUUCGUUGCUCUUUCUCUAAAGCCCCCUCCACGCCUGCUCUUCUGUUAGUCAGAUGAUGCUAAUGGUAGCUAACUCACAAGGGUAGCAGGAAGACCCAGCAGAUAAUAUAUGCAAAAUACUUGCAACAGGGUUGGCACAUCAUAAAUACCUAGAAAAUAGUAGGAACUUAUUAUUAAUAAUAAGUGGAUAUACACUUCCCAAGCAGGUGGUAAAUACAUGGGUGUUAUUUUGAUUAAGUUUUCAAAUGCUCAUAGAUCUUACGAACACUUUUUAUGUGCA